UGGGAACGUACCCUUUGGUUCGGAACAACUCAGGGAAACUUGGGCUAAUACCGGAUACGUCCGUAAGGAGAAAGAUUUAUCGCCAAGGGAUCGGCCCGCGUCUGAUUAGCUAGUUGGUGGGGUAAUGGCCCACCAAGGCUACGAUCAGUAGCUGGUCUGAGAGGAUGAUCAGCCACAUUGGGACUGAGACACGGCCCAAACUCCUACGGGAGGCAG
rnacentral:rRNA from 1 species